CAAAAGUCAGACAGUUCUGGGGCUGAACUUCAAACUGGCAGGCAGCGCUGUCUCUCAGAAGGCAGCAAACCAGCCUUCCUGUGAUACCUGAGCACACUGCUGAAACUUCUGCUUACAAUUGUGUUCUCUGAAGUCAGAAACGUUACGGUUUGGAAAUUCAUCAUUAAGAAUGAUAUAACUGGGCUGCAGAGGCUGGAUCCCUCUGACAAAGAACCAGCCUAACAUUCUCAACUUAGUGCACAGUUACACUCAAAGAAGUUUCUGAGGACGUUUCCUGUCCAUGUCAACUCUCGUAGUUUUCAAGUUAACAAGGCCCGGAGUCCACGUUCACAGAACAGACGCGAUGUAGAACUCUUCAUACACAGCCCUAGUCAAUUUCGGACACAAUAAAACAUCGAUUCACUUAAAUUUUAUCUACUCUUCCUUGAAAUCUUACAAACUUCCUUUGUGUGGAAGGACUGUCAGGACCUGUUCUCAAAUACAAUGAUCUCAUUUGUGGUGAUGAUGACGAGCCUAACACGUAUCAUAGUGAUGACUAUUUUAUGAUAUUUACCCAAAAGGCCAAAUACAGAGGAGUGCAAGAGAUUAGCCACACACUAGAGGCCCAAAGAAUCCAGCCAAGGGUCUGGAUCCCACAGCAAUGUCC
rnacentral:lncRNA from 1 species